rnacentral:rRNA from 2 species
GCCUAAUACAUGCAAGUCGAACGAACUCUGGUAUUGAUUGGUGCUUGCAUCAUGAUUUACAUUUGAGUGAGUGGCGAACUGGUGAGUAACACGUGGGAAACCUGCCCAGAAGCGGGGGAUAACACCUGGAAACAGAUGCUAAUACCGCAUAACAACUUGGACCGCAUGGUCCGAGCUUGAAAGAUGGCUUCGGCUAUCACUUUUGGAUGGUCCCGCGGCGUAUUAGCUAGAUGGUGGGGUAACGGCUCACCAUGGCAAUGAUACGUAGCCGACCUGAGAGGGUAAUCGGCCACAUUGGGACUGAGACACGGCCCAAACUCCUACGGGAGGCAGCAGUAGGGAAUCUUCCACAAUGGACGAAAGUCUGAUGGAGCAACGCCGCGUGAGUGAAGAAGGGUUUCGGCUCGUAAAACUCUGUUGUUAAAGAAGAACAUAUCUGAGAGUAACUGUUCAGGUAUUGACGGUAUUUAACCAGAAAGCCACGGCUAACUACGUGCCAGCAGCCGCGGUAAUACGUAGGUGGCAAGCGUUGUCCGGAUUUAUUGGGCGUAAAGCGAGCGCAGGCGGUUUUUUAAGUCUGAUGUGAAAGCCUUCGGCUCAACCGAAGAAGUGCAUCGGAAACUGGGAAACUUGAGUGCAGAAGAGGACAGUGGAACUCCAUGUGUAGCGGUGAAAUGCGUAGAUAUAUGGAAGAACACCAGUGGCGAAGGCGGCUGUCUGGUCUGUAACUGACGCUGAGGCUCGAAAGUAUGGGUAGCAAACAGGAUUAGAUACCCUGGUAGUCCAUACCGUAAACGAUGAAUGCUAAGUGUUGGAGGGUUUCCGCCCUUCAGUGCUGCAGCUAACGCAUUAAGCAUUCCGCCUGGGGAGUACGGCCGCAAGGCUGAAACUCAAAGGAAUUGACGGGGGCCCGCACAAGCGGUGGAGCAUGGUGUUAAGUUCGAAGCUACGCGAAGAACCUUAACAGGUCUGACAUACUAUGCAAUUCUAAGAGAAUAGACGUUCCCUUCAGGGACAUGGAUACAGGUGGUGCAU